rnacentral:rRNA from 1 species
GACGAACGCUGGCGGCGUGCUUAACACAUGCAAGUCGAACGAUGAAGCCUAGCUUGCUAGGUGGAUUAGUGGCGAACGGGUGAGUAAUACGUGAGUGACCUACCUUUGACUCUGGGAUAAGCCUGGGAAACUGGGUCUAAUACCGGAUACGACCAAUCUCCGCAUGGGGUGUUGGUGGAAAGCGUUAUGGAGUGGUUUUAGAUGGGCCCACGGCCUAUCAGCUUGUUGGGGAGGUAAUGGCUUACCAAGGCGACGACGGGUAGCCGGCCUGGGAGGGUGACCGGCCACACUGGGACUGAGACAGGGCCCAGACUCCUACGGGAGGCAGCAGUGGGGAAUAUUGCACAAUGGGCGCAAGCCUGAUGCAGCGACGCCGCGUGAGGGAUGACGGCCUUCGGGUUGUAAACCUCUGUUAGCAUCGAAGAAGCGAAAGUGACGGUAGGUGCAGAGAAAGCGCCGGCUAACUACGUG